rnacentral:pre_miRNA from 1 species
UCUUAUGGAUGAGCAAAGAAAGUGGUUUCUUGCAGUGGAAUCUACUCUUGGUGAAGAUGCUAUGAA